rnacentral:tRNA from 1 species
GGAGUGGUGGCCGAGCGGCAAAGGCACCUCACUGUCUCUGAGGAUCAGGUGGGUUCGACUCCCAUCCACUUCGCCA